CUCAACCAAGUUGGAUAUGGUGCACGAUCUGUUCCUAUUUUUCAUUUUUAUUGAGGCCCAUGAUUAUUUCAGCCCCAGUGUCCCUGAAAAUGUUGUUUAUGUAACAGGGCAUGGGAAUUAAUAUCUGGUGUUAGCUUUCUAGAUAUCUGGGGUUAUUGGAGUAUGGAACUGUAGUGGUUACAUCAUCACAAGUUACUUACCACUUCUGAAGCCUGAAAUUUAAGAGCGGGGGGCUCACUUUCAGAUCAGCUGUGCUACAGAAUUUAGCUCUAAUGCUAAUACAGUGCAUGUGUACAUAUUGAAUUUGAUGAACUUGUCUAUCGUCAAUGAAGUAUGUUCUAUCGAUAUGCAGGUGUAUACAGGGUCCCCGCGGGUCCUUAAAAAGUCUUGAAAUGUCUUAAAUACAAUUUUCGAUUUUUAAGGUCUGAAAAUGUCUUGAAUCCUGGAAUUUUCCAUAUGAAUGUCUUAAAUUUCAUGUGGGAUCUUAAAUUUCAUGUCCGACUCGUCAUUUUUAUUUAUUUUUUCAACCGCAAUUUGACCAGCGUAACAUUUGGGGGCAGCACUUCGUGGGUGCAACCUGCAUCAUUCCAUAGGCGACAUACGAGUAAGUGAUUGAUGAACGCGUUGCGUUGAUGGUUCGCCACCACGGCAGUUUGCGAAAUCGCAAGCAUGGGCAAAGACGAUAAAGCUGUGGACAUGGACAAGACCACGAUUGUCAGGUCUCGCUAUCUUGGUUCUCAGUUUUUGAGCCCCUCAACGGCAGAAGACUUGCUGUAGCACUUUAAGGAGGGCACCAAGGAACUUAAUUUAAGGAACCUGCUUUCUGUGUCAAUGGAUGUAUCCACAGUAAAUUGGAAAGUCAUGGAUCUCCUACAACUGGAACAUGCAAUAAAUUUCUGAUCCUGAUCUUUCCUACAA